rnacentral:rRNA from 1 species
GAAGGCCCGAGCGUUAUCCGGAUUCAUUGGGCUUAAAGGGAGCGUAGGCGGGCUUUCAAGUCAGCUGUAAAAUCGCGCGGCUCAACCGCGCCCCGCAGUUGAAACUGGAGGCCUUGAGUGCAUGCGAGGCAGGCGGAAUUCGUGGUGUAGCGGUGAAAUGCAUAGAUAUCACGAGGAACCCCGGUUGCGAAGGCAGCCUGCCGGUGUGCCACUGACGCGGAGGCUCGAAGGGGCGGGGAUCAA